AUGGAUGGGGAUUGGGUCUCUUGUUUCUUCUCUCUCCACCAGGUCCAGAGAGAGGCAAUGACCUGGAUAAGUGUUUGCAAAUUCAAAAUCUUCUUUGGGAAAUUUCAAAAGAACAACAUAUCCAGCUCCUGGUUCAUUUACCUUCUCAGCCAUGAACUCUCAAAAUCAAAGCCAGCAAGUUGUCACCACCUGAAAUUAUCCCUCUCACAAAAUCCAUACAUCAGACGCCCACUGUCAAGAGACAAUUCUCCGUGGGUGUCUCACAUUUCUGCUCAUCUUGAAGCACCCAUACUGGAUUGAUAUCAGCAUUUGACCUUCAGCACGAUAUUGAGUGAGUAUCUCAGAUCACUUUUUUAAUCCCUUCUGAUGUUAAAAUGAUAUAACAACAUGCUCUAUCAUUUCUCUAUUUUUAUAUGACAUUCCCCUUUCUUCUUCAUGGGAUCAAUUUCAUUUAAGUCUUUCCAGUUCCCUUGAAAUACUUUUUAUCUGAAGCCAUGGAAUUUAUUCCUCUUUUCAUUUUGUAUGUUG
rnacentral:lncRNA from 10 species